GGCUAGUCUGAAGGUAGCAAGUUGUCUCCAUUGACUGCUCACAGUUACAAAUGGAACUCCUUGAUCUACUCUCUCCCUCCUUCUCUUGACUAGUCUUAA
rnacentral:Y_RNA from 1 species